rnacentral:rRNA from 1 species
AUUGAACGCUGGCGGCAGGCCUAACACAUGCAAGUCGCGCGGAUCGGCGGACUGGUGAGUAAUGCCUAGGAAUCUGCCUGUUAGUGGGGGAUACCGUCCGGAACCGGGCGCUAAUACUGCAUCCUAUCAGAUGAGCCUAUGUCGGAUUAACUAGUUGGUGGGGUAAAGGGCUACAAGGCGACGACCCGUCACUGGUCUGAGAGGAUGAUCAGUCACACUGGAACUGAGACACGGUCCAGGCUCCUACGGGAGGCAGCAGAGGGGAAUACUGGACAAUGGGGGGAACCCUGGUCCAGCCAAGCCGCGUGUGUGAAGAACGCCUUAUGGUUGUAAAGCACUUUAAGCGAGGAGACGUUACUCGCAGAAUAAGCACCGGCUAACUACGUGCCAGCCGCCGCGGUAAUUC